GGAGUAACACGUAAACAACCUGCCUUCAAGAUGGGGACAACAGACGGAAACGACUGCUAACACCGAAUACGAUCCGAAAGUCGCAUGACAUUUGGAUGAAAAGGGUGGCCUAUCGAAGAAGCUAUCGCUUGAAGAGGGGUUUGCGUCCGAUUAGGUAGUUGGUGAGGUAACGGCCCACCAAGCCGACGAUCGGUAGCCGGUCUGAGAGGAUGAACGGCCACACUGGAACUGAGACACGGUCCAGACUCCUACGGGAGGCAGCAGAG
rnacentral:rRNA from 1 species